rnacentral:lncRNA from 1 species
AACAUGGGAGAAAGACUCUGAAUACUAAAUAAAAUUACAAGCCAGAGUUGCUCCAACGAAGGUAAUUUGAGAGAUGGAAUAGCUUGGAGGUUCUCACAACCAUCAACCAUCAAAAUUUUAAGCUUAUCCAACGACUCAUCCAACAUGGGAGAAAGACUCUGAAUACUAGAUAAACUUCCAAGCCUGAGUUUCUCCAAUGAAGGUAAUUUGAGAGAUGGAAUAGUUUGGAGCUUUGCACAAUCAACAACCUUCAAAAUUUUAAGCUUAUCCAAUGACUCAUCCAACAUGGGAGAAAGACUCUCAAUACUAGAUAAAUAGCGAAGAGUGAGUUCCU